rnacentral:SRP_RNA from 2 species
GCCAGGUGUGGUGGUGGGCACCUGUAAUCCCAGCUACUUGGGAGGCUGAGGCAGGAGAAUCACUUGAACCCAGGAGGCAGAGGUUGCAGUGAGCUGAGAUCACACCACUACACUCUAGCCUGGGCAAUAGAGUGAGACUCUGUCUCAA